UACGUAGGGGGCAAGCGUUGUCCGGAAUCAUUGGGCGUAAAGAGCGUGUAGGCGGUCCGGUAAGUCGGCUGUGAAAGUCCAGGGCUCAACCCUGGGAUGCCGGUCGAUACUGCCGGACUAGAGUUCGGAAGAGGCGAGUGGAAUUCCCGGUGUAGCGGUGAAAUGCGCAGAUAUCGGGAGGAACACCUAUGGCGAAGGCAGCUCGCUGGGACGUUACUGACGCUGAGACGCGAAAGCGUGGGAGCAAACAGG
rnacentral:rRNA from 1 species